rnacentral:lncRNA from 1 species
AUGGAAUUGAAAUAGAAUUGACCCCAAACCUGAUAUGAGUUAUGAAGAGCUCCGUUGUUUUCCCAGGUUAGAGAGACUGAGUCACUACUCACUACUAAGCUAGGGGAUUCUCUGUGGUCCCGUAUUAGUACCUGGAUAUAUCUGCUAAGGCAUCAGAGUGCCCUGCCAACCACCAGACAGACUUACUGAAGCCAGGCGGUGUACUAGUCUCAGGGGCUGUGCUGCCACCUAUAGGCAGACUGCAGACUGCAGCAUAGCACGCAGCUCCGGGAGCGUGGUGGCGUCAAGUCUAAACCUAACCCUUCACCUACAGUAACUCAUGUUGUGAGGGAUUGAGGGGGAGGAUCUCUACAAGGAGACUGCGCACUGAACUGCUGAAAUGGAACUACAUUGAGGCCCAAACAUAUCUGGACUGGUAUGUAGCAGCAUUGGUUCAGGGAGGCGUGCGACUUCAGGCCAGACAGGAUAAAUGGUGGGCAGAAAGUGACCACAGCUCCAGACUUUCAAGUGCUGCCUGUUGCUUGUUGGCUCUGAGCGGUUUACACCUCAAGUGGUUGAGUAGCCGGGGGAAACAACACAACAAGCUAAGUUCUCUAUUGAUUUAUUACUCAACCUAAAGUCUUUAUUACUCAACCUAAACACCAAAGACAACUAGGAAAAGUCAAUUCAACUGUACUGAAGAAAAAUAUAAACGCAACAUAUAAAGUGUUGGUCCCAUGUUUCAUGAGCUGAAACAAAAUAUCCCAGAAAUGUUCCAUACUCACAAAUUUUGUGCAAACAUUUUGUUUACAUCCCUGUUAGUGAACAUUUCUCCUUUGCCAAGAUAAUCCAUCCACCUGACAGGUGUGGCAUAUCAAGAACCUGAUUAAACAGCAUGAUCAUUACAUAGGUGCACCUUGUGCUGGGGACAAUAAAAGGCCACUCUAAAAUGUGCAAUUUUGUCACACAACAUUAUGCCACAGAUGUCUCAAGUUUUUAGGGAGCACGCAAUUGGCAUGCUGACUGCAGGAAUGUCCACCGGAGCUGUUGCCAGAGAAUUUAAUGUUUGUUUCUCUAUCCAACGUCGUUUUAGAGAAUUUGGCAGUACGUCCAACCUGCCUCACAACCGCAGACCACGUGUAACCACUCCAGCCCAGGACCUCCACAUCUGACUUCUUCACCUACGUGAGCAUCUGAGAUCAGCCACCCGGACAUCUGAUGAAACUGACAAUUAUUUCUGUCUGUAAUAAAGCCCUUUUGUGAGGAAAGCACUCAUUCUGAUUGUCAGGUCCUAACUCCCCAGUGGGUGGGCCUAUGCCCUCUCGGGCCUAUGCCCCCCCAUGCCCACCCAUGGCGGUGCCCCUGCC